rnacentral:rRNA from 1 species
GUCCUUUUGAUUUUUAUAUAAGGUCUGACCUGCCCUAUGAAUAUUUAAAUGGCCGCGGUAUACUAACCGUGCAAAGGUAGCAUAGUCAUUUGUCUCUUAAUUGGAGGCUUGAAUGAAGGGUUGGACGAGAUAUAAGCUUUCUUUGUUAUAUUUUAUUGAAUUUGACUUUUGAGUUAAAAGGCUUAAAUUUUUUUAUAGGACGAGAAGACCCUAUAGAAUUUUAUAUAUUUGUAUAAUUGAUUUAUUUAUUUAUUAUUUAAUUCCUUGUUUAAAUAUAUUUUGUUGGGGCGAUGGGAAGAUUUUAAUAACUCUUUUUUGUUUUGAUCAUUGAUUUAUGUUUUAUUCUGAUCCUUUUUUAGAGAUUAUAAGAUUAAAUUACCUUAGGGAUAACAGCGUAAUUCUUUUGGAGAGUUCUUAUCGAUAAAAGAGUUUGCGA